GGGAUUGCCUCAGUAACGGCGAGUGAAGCGGCAACAGCUCAAAUUUGAAAUCUGGCUCCUUCGGGGUCCGAAUUGUAAUUUGUAGAGAGUGCUUCGGGCGAGACCUCGGUCUAAGUCCAUUGGAACAUGGUGUCAUAGAGGGUGAGAAUCCCGUAUGCGACCGUGGCUCGAGCCCAUGUGAAGCCUCUUCGACGAGUCGAGUUGUUUGGGAAUGCAGCUCAAAACGGGUGGUAAAUUUCAUCUAAAGCUAAAUACUGGCUGGAGACCGAUAGCGCACAAGUAGAGUGAUCGAAAGAUGAAAAGCACUUUGGAAAGAGAGUCAAACAGUACGUGAAAUUGUUGAAAGGGAAGCGCUUGCAACCAGACCUGCCCGUAGGCGAUCAGCCGCUGUUCUCAGCGGUGCACUCGCUCUGCGAUCAGGCCAGCAUCGGUUUCGGCGGUCGGAUAAAGGCCUUGGGAAUGUAGCUUCCCUUCGGGGAAGUCUUAUAGCCCUCGGUGCAAUGCGGCCAGCCGGGACCGAGGACCGCGCUUCGGCUAGGAUGCUGGCGUAAUGGUUGUAAGCGACCCGUCUUGAAACACGGACCAAGGAGUCUAACAUCUAUGCGAGUGUUUGGGUGUCAAACCCAUACGCGGAAUGAAAGUGAACGGAGGUGAGAACCCUUAAGGGCGCAUCAUCGACCGAUCCAGAUGUCUUCGGAUGGAUUUGAGUAUGAGCAUAGCUGUUGGGACCCGAAAGAUGGUGAACUAUGCCUGAAUAGGGUGAAGCCAGAGGAAACUCUGGUGGAGGCUCGCAGCGGUUCUGACGUGCAAAUCGAUCGUCAAAUUUGGGUAUAGGGGCGAAAGACUAAUCG
rnacentral:rRNA from 1 species